GCUCUUCCUUACCUGCUGCUAUAUUCAGGCUGUCUUUUAGCUUCUUUUACCAUGCACACCAAAUUAGUCUUUAAGUACGAGAGCGCUAAUGUCAUGUUAAACCUGAAAGCGGAUGCGAAAAAGAUGUCAGAAAUCUGCUUGGGGUCAAGAUUGGACUUCUAUACUUUAUUUGGAGUGGGUGGUGGCAGCCAUGUUCUCAUCUUAACAUUUGUAAUAUAGAGAUCUGUUGGAAUCUUUUGGGACAUUAAGUAUGUUGAACGGGAUGAACUUUUCAAUUUAUUUCAAUAACUAUCUUUAUAAUGUUAUUUUGGUCUAAUAUGCUCGAGUAACCCCCCUCCUCACAUCAGGUGAUCAACUAGAGAUUGGAAAGGAGACAGGACGCUGUUUAGGAAUGGGAAAUAAUAUGUAUCCUGCUGCUUCUUUACUAGGCCAGGAUAAGGAUGAGUCUAUUGCAACUUUGCCUGUUGAUGAGAUGAUUGAAAAAGCAGAUGGUUUUGCUGGUGUUUUUCAUGUUGUAGGAACUAGCUAGUAAGAAGAGCAAGUACCCAUCAUCCAGAGCUACGACCAAUAGAGCAUCCUCUCGUAAAGGUAAUUAGCUUAUUCUGGAUACUAUAUUGUUCCUUAAAUUGAUUAAAGUAUUACCCUAAAUAUUAAGAGAAAAAAAGUAUUAUUGUCCCUUGCUACAAAUAAGUAAGAAGUAAUCUUUCGUCCUCCCUUAGGAAGCACCGGAUCAAACAAGGAUCUUGGGAUAUUUAGACACAUAAGAGCACUUAGCAGUGUUUUUGAGAAACUUACUUUGAUUCAAAGUCUUGGCUCUUAUUGUUAUACUUUAAAGCAGAUGACAACUAUAAUGUACAAUCCACUCUACUGGUUCAUUAAGUUCUUAGAAAUGCAUAUCUUCCAUUGACAAACAGGUGAAAGAUUUACAAUGGGAACAUGUAGAUGUAAAGUUCAUUAUAUAACCAAUGGUAGAAAAUAUGUGAUUUCUCUAAGAAAAACUUCAUAUGACGAAUAAACUUUAAUUGUUUUAUGUAGAGAUACUUCAUUCCACCAUUUUAUUAUUAUUAUUAUGAAGGGUUUUAUGUUGCAUAGAGUUUGAUUUGACAUCAGUCGUGCCAAUAAUAAGCUUUAUGCAACCAUUGGACCUUUGCAAUGAAGAUAUGCUACAUCUGUGAGGCAAAAGCUUUUUAGGUAUUCUGGUGUAACGAAUUUUUCAUGACACUGUCCUAAAUAUAGCGGGAAUAACAUCGUGGAUUUAAUCAGAUUAGCCAAAAUGUAACUGUUGCUAAUUAAGACAAGGUGUGUCUUGGAUGCUUGCAUGCUCAAUCAUUUAGUGAUAUUUUGUUCUUAAUGAAUUGUUUCUAUGCACAGUAGGUGGUGCAAUGAGAAGGGGGACACUAUCUGUGAAAUUUGCCGCCACGUUUGUAGGUCCAAUUUUUUUGUCCUGUGUUCAUUCUUUAAGACCUAAAUGUUGAUGUUUGGUAAUUAUGCAACCUUGUAAAAUUGUGUGCAACACAACAUUGCUUGAAUAUCUCUUUGUUUGGCACAAGAUGAAGAAUGCUCCUAUUGGCACGAGGUAUAUGUGUUUAUUCUUACUUAUCCAUAUCUUGCUAUUUCAUGUCUGCUUGGUUAAAUUUUUACAUUGUAGUUGUAGAAUUUAUCUCUAUAGGGUUACUAGUAUUAAAAGAAAUCUGAUGUAUUUUUGACUGAAUAACUAGAUCUUGUUUCAUGAGUCAUGCAAGUGUAAGGAGAAUAUGCUCUAGUAUUGCUAGUGACCGCGGACACUAAUUGCUUUAAAAGUGUUCCCAAAUGUGUUCUUCCAAAGCAAUAAAUGACUUUGAAAUAGUCAUUAGCUAGUUGGCAUAACCUUAGGCGUAUAUUAUUUGGUUUUUCUUGUUUGGUAGGGUGAACUGAAGCCCAUGGAUGUAGAGCAACAGAGAGAGUAUGGUCACAAGAUGGUGAAUUUCAUUCUUGAUUGUUACAAGAACAAUGAGAACUCACUGUUCUCAAUCAAGUUCAGGUUUUCAUAAUAACCUAUCAAUUUCUUUUUGUAUCCUUACCCAAGAAUUAGUUAUUUCCCCAUAGAAAGUUUAGCCAUUGCAUGACAUUGUUAUUUUGGCAGAGUUUGCGGAGACUUAGCUAGAAAAAAGUACUCCAUUAUAUUUCGAAUGAAAUUAGUAAAGCUCAAUCUUUUGAUGAAUACAUUUUUAAUAUCUUAGCUA